AAGUCGUAACAAGGUAUCCGUAGGUGAACCUGCGGAUGGAUCAUUAACGUUCUAUUUGACAUAGAUAAACGUAAAAGAAAAGAGGACGACAGUUAUUAACGUCAGCUAAUAACGUUGUUCUUUCUCUCUUAUUAUUUAUUCUAUUCAAAUAACAUAAACGUACACCCUUGUGGUGAAUAUAGGAACUAGAGUGUGAUUCUAGUGAAAGUGUAAUAGAGAGUAGAGAUGGCAGCAUGAUAUUUUAUAUUGUAAUGCCAUUAAUAUUCUCUUUGCUUAGCUAGAAUUGCUUCUCUGUCUAUUAUAUAUAAACGCAAUUCUAUUUCAUUUAUUAAGACUAAAGUUUACCUUGUGGAUCAGUAACAUGAUUACCAAGUAAAACAAUUAAUAAAUCUAAUACAACUGCUAGCAACGGAUCACUCGGCUCUC
rnacentral:misc_RNA from 1 species